AGCCCCGAGGUGUUCCACGUCAGAUUGCAAAUCUGAAGAGGCGAGUUGAUUCUCGCCGGGGCUU
rnacentral:tRNA from 1 species